rnacentral:misc_RNA from 1 species
AAAAGUUGCCAAAGUGGAUGUUCCAUCUGCUCUGCUUGUUGGUGGUGUAGUGCCAGCGUCAUUGGGUGUUGGAUAUGCCGCGCAAACUUUAGGUGCAAUGCAGCCAAUUUACAAUUCUGCUGUGCCGGUUCCCCCUGCUGGCUGGCCAGUGCCUCCUAGGCCACAGCCGUGGUUCUCACAACCUCCUGCAGUUUCAAUUCCAGCUCCUGCUCCAGUUGGAUAUGGGCUGCAGGUAUUGUUCCCAGUGCAUAAUGCGAGGCCUCCUCUGCCAUUAUCUACAGCCUCUGCACGCCAACCUUCACAAGUUCCUCCAGGACUGACCUCAUCCACACCACCUAUUCCCGUAUCUCAACCAUUAUUUCCUGUUGUUAACAAUAA